AAAAAAUAAAUUGCCCCGGUAGACCAUCGGUUAAUGUGUAAUAAUGUAUGGAAGAAUGUGCCAUGUCUGAAAACGGCUCCGGCUGUAGGUUCUUUAUUCUCUGCAAUGUUGAGGUGUUAUAUUGAGUGGAACGCACAGACAGGAAAUGACAUACAGGACAGACAGGAAGUGAUAUCCAAGAAAGGCAGGAAGUGAUGUCGGAUACAGAAAGGAAGUGAUGUAACAUACAGACAGGAAGUUCCGGGUCAGAGGUGAGUUGGGAGGACGUAGAGAGGAGACAUUUCUGGAACUCGAAGCAGAGACGACUUCUAAAGCAGUAAAGAAAAGAUCUGGUGAGCCGUAACACCCAGCCACUGUCUUCACAGGACAUCACCCAUCACAGUGCCUCCACCUCACUGCCUGACAACAGAGGUAACCAGUGCCAAGAAGAUUCUAGAAUUCACCCAGAAGAUCACUGAGCUGCUGACAGGAGAGGUUCCUAUAAGGAGUCUAUUUCUCCAUGGAGGAGUGUG